rnacentral:lncRNA from 1 species
ACGCGCCGACCAUCGCCCGGCCGCCCCCCUCUACAAAACCCCGGCGCCCCCCUCCCAUCGCCGAACCCUAAUCCCCACUCCCUCCCUCACACGCCCCUCGCCCUUCGGCUCUAGAUCCACUUCGGCCACGUCCCGCCGUCGCCAUGGUCGCCGUCACCCACGCGCUCUUCGUCACCCCCGUGCCCUAGGACCUUGUCCGCCUGCUUCCCCGCCGUCUACCACGUCGUCAUCUGCUACUAGCUCGAGACGGACGCCCCUGCGACGCCGUCCCCGCCACCGGUGUCCUCCUUGGCUCGACGGACACCGUCGACGGUUCGCUCCGGCGAGCUCUUCCCCGAGCCCAUUCCAGCACCUCUGCAGGGACGCUGUGAGCACCGCCCCCUCUCUCCCUUGCUUCUACCCCAUGCUGUAGCUCGCUCUUCGUGUCAUCUCCGUCGUUACCGAACCAUCGCACCGCUCGCCGCCGUCCAUGCGGUUGCCGUCGAGCUCAACCGAGCUUGUUGACGUGCUCAGUGCACUCGUAGAGUUCUUACGCGCUUAGCCCCAUCACUUUGCUGCUAGCGCCGCUCGCGCGCUGCUCCGUCGUCCGGUGCCUCCCACUGCGACCCGCUCUGCUGCUGCUGUAGUUGCCGCCGACGCCCGCGGCCCAUGCUCUGCCUGUUGCCGUUGCUCUGUGCUGCUGCCACUACGCCGCUGCCGCCCCGCCGCCGCUAGCCGGCACCGUCCGCGCGCGCGACACCGCGCCUGACGCUGCUCGCUGCUCCCCGCGCUGAUGCUCUGCUUGCUGCAACACUUCUGCUGCUUCUUUUGUUGCUACCGCUACUCUGCCUAUACUACUGUUAGUACUGUAGCCGCGCUAGCUAGCUUUUCAAUUUCUACAUCAAGUAACCCCCUCGACUGCCCCUAAACUACGGUUAGACAACUACUAACAGGCCUUAAAAAAUAUGAGUAGAAAGUAUACUUGGCAAAAUCCAUUUUAUCCCAUUGGACCAAAUCCUUUUGAUGCAUGGUUUAAUUCCACAAAAAUCACAAAGUUUAAUGUUCUGUUAAUAGAAAAACCGAAAACAACUUUAUUUUCAUAGCUACUUUAGUGCUGUUGAUGACCAAGCAAAUGAACUCUAGUAGAGAUGAAAGUGCCACUAUCUUGUAGAACAAAGAAAAAUGCUCAAAAUUUAUAUAAGGCACAAAAUCAUAGAAGGUACAGAUCUAUAGUUGUAGCCUUUUGAAAACAGCUAAAAGAUGUUUAAAACUGACAUCUAUAGUUGUAGCAACUGAGCGGUGCGCGCCGGGUUGGACUGCGUAAGCACCUGCGUUUUUGAAGGAGGUAGCUAGGUCUGCGCACCGGCCGCCCUCGCAACGUGCACGAGUUUCUGGGGAGAUGGCCCAUGACCCCUGGGGGCAUAGGUUUAGUCCGGCGUGCUGAUCUCUCUAUUAAGCCUAGGUUGGGUUGCGGCGUAUUGUUUGGCCGAGGCCGGGCAUGACCCAGGAAAGUGUGUCCGGCCGGAGUUAAUCGAGCGUGGUGGGUAAGUUGGUGCACCCCUGUAGGGAAAAAACAUCUAUCGAUAGCCUGUCCUACGGUAACAGACACUUGGAGUUGUAUCCCGAUCGAUACAACUAGAACUGGAUACUUGAGAUGAGUCAUGGAUUGUGAUGAUAACUGGAUAGUAUGGAUCUGGGAUUGCUUUCUCGCAGGGAGUCGAGAAAGGAUCUCUGGCUGAGGUUGAUAACACUACCACUACUUUACUUUAUGCUACCCUACUCCCUCCUGUUGCUGCAAGAUGGUGGUUUCCAGAAGAUGCUAGUCUUCGAUAGGACUAGGCCUUCUCUCUAUUCUGACAUUUCUGCAGCCCAGUCCACAUAUACAACCUUCCUUUGAUAAUGUUGCAUAUGUAGUAUAGAUCCUUGCUUGCUGAGUACUUCGGAUGAGUACUCACGGUUGCUUUGCUCCCUCUUUUUCACCUUUCCCUUUAUUUCCGGAUGUUGCAACCAGAUGCUGGAGCCCAGGAUCCAGACGACACCACUGACGAUUACUACUACACCGAGGGUGCCUACUACUACGUGGAGGCCGCCGACGACCAGGAGUAGUUAGGAGGCUCCCAGGCAGGAGGCCUUGCCUUUUCGAUCGUAGAUGCCUUUGUGCUAGCCUUCUUAAGACAAACUUGUCUAACUUAUGUCUGUACUCAUAUAUUGUUGCUUCCGCUGACUCUUGUGUUUUCGAGCUUAUGUAUUCGAGCCCUCAAGGCCCUAGCUUGUAAUAUAAAGCUUGUAUUAUUUUAAUUUGUGUCUAGAGUUGUGUUGUGAUAUCUUUCCGUGAGUCCUUGAUCUUGAUCGUACACAUUUGCGUGUAUGAUUAGUGUACGAUUGAAUUGAGGGCGUCACAGAUGCAGGCACAUAUUUAGAGUCCAAAGGGGAAAAUAAAAGCGAUGUAUGACCGUGCAUAAGCGAGGACUGGCCUGGUCGGUGGAGUUGAGCUACGCAGGGCGAAUCGAAGAGGCGCUGCGGAGGUCGGUUCAAGACAACGCCGCCAUGUCGAGAAGACGAUGCAGCUGCAGGAGGAUAAGACGAUGUGGACGAGAGAGCGUGUAAAUCCCUAAGAUUGACCUAUGUAUAAGAUGGGAGAAUGACAGAAAUAGCCCCGCACCGGAUCGAGCCGGUGGAGCGUUUCUGCAUCUCCUAGGCCGGCCCACGAGGUUCGGGUGCAUUUUUUAUUUUUUUAAGUAUCUCAUUUGCCUCUCAUUGUAUUGCCUAAAAACACUGCCUUCUAUUGUUUUUGUAGUUGUUUUGCUAUUAAAGUCAAUAUCAGAUGCUACGAAAAACGAGUAAUAAAAUCUUAG